rnacentral:sRNA from 1 species
CUUUAGCCCUGAUGGAAGUGGAAAUCCUUGUCUCGUUUUUUUGACGAGACAAGAUUGUAACGGACAGCAGGAAUAUGG